rnacentral:lncRNA from 1 species
AGAUCAGGGCAUGUACAUUUUGUAGACUUAUUCCCAGAUGAGCCAUAACAAAUAGCUAAAGCAUACUUUCCACUGGUGGCAAAUUGCUCCUGGGAAACAUACUGAUUCACUUGUGGAUUAAAAACACAGCAGUUAGAAUCACUUUCAUAUAGGCUAACUUCACAGCUCUUGAUAGUGAAGAGAAAUUUUUUUUUUUUUUUUAGCUUUCAAAAGAUUCAUAGAUGUCUCCCUAUUUCUUUGAACUGUCAUUAUGUUUAAAUGGGGUGAGAAAACUACCAAAAAUGUUUAAAUCAUGCGUUCCUGAUGCAAACAUCAGUAGUCUCUUGUCUUUUACUAACUACAUUUAAACAUACCAGAGAUGAAAUUGUUGGACUAUGAGAUUACAAUCCCUUUUGACGGGUUAAUAAUCUUGCUUAUUAAUAGAAACAAUUCAGACCAGAAUUCUACCUUGCAAUUUUGCUAUGGGAAGUGUAGGCAAGAUUUCACCAAGAACAAAACAAUCUCGCAAACCAAUUUGAAUGAUCUGAGAGCUGUGUUUGCUUAAUGUACAGUUUAGUAGUGGUAUCACGCUUUGGCUCUGUUGUCCUUUCUUUGAACUCAAGGGUAGGCUUGGGGGAUGUUAUUGGAACCACAUGCUUUCAUUCAGGUUGACGGUUUUCUUCAGAAGACAUAGUAGGGUCUUCAUGAUUUGUCUCAGGUUGCAAGUCAGCUGUCCAAUGAUGAAGAAUCAUCUAUAUGUUUCAGUGGGUUUAGGCUUAAAAAACACUCUCAAGAUAUUAAUUUGCCAUUGUUUUAGGUAUAAAAGUGAAAUAUUCCAAAACAUGAUAUGUUAAAGUUUACAGUGGAAAUAUUUUCAAAUACAACUAGGUGGUUGAAUUUUCAUAGUAUAAUGCUUUUUCUCAUUUUUAUCAUGGAAAAGCACAAAUAUUUUAAAUAUUUUUGUGUUUGUUUUUACCAAGGAAAAACCACUCGAAAAGCAAGAGGGCAGUUUGAUGUCUAAAAUGGAAAGGGUAAAUUGCUGCCCUAUCACAUAAGUGGCUUUUGUAGGUUGGAAGUGAAAAAUAUUUUUAAUUUAAAAGUGAAUUUGGAGAUCUGAGCAUGCUCACUGUACAUCACUUUAAAAUUAUUAAAGUAGUUUGAUUUAAUAGAGUGAAUCUUCUCAGGCUGAGGAGUACUUCACUUUGCACUGCAAAAGCUCAGAUGUUAGAACCCGAUCACUUCCCAGAUGAAGAGCUUAUAAAAAAAUGUGAAGUACUCUAAUAAUUUUAAAUUACUCUAUAUUGCACAUUUUCAGGUCUCUGAUCACCUCCAAAUUCAAGUGCUUAUAAAACUGCUCCCAUAAUUUUAAAUUGCUAUGUGCACAGUGAUUUAAAAUUGUGAGAGUGCUUCAAAGUUUUUUAAUAAGUGCUUUAAUUUAGAAGUGAGUUGAGCAAUACUCCAGUAUAACUUCAAGAAUUUAUUAAACCGAUAUAAAAAUUUAUCCUCUGGAAAGAAAAUUACAUUACGUAUAAAAGGGUGAGGCUCCAAAUGAAUAUAUAUGAGGAUGAAAGUACCAAAUGCUCAGGAACAAUCAGUAAAUGAAAUGAGAUCAUGGGGUCGUAGGUGGGGGGUUUGUUUGGUUAAUUUUGUUCACUGCUUGCCUGAGGCUAGCGUUCUUGAAAAUCUAACAGAAAGGGAAGGAAGGAAGAGAGAGCCUGGUGGGAGAGUUUAUCCCUAAGACAUCUUUCCCCACUUGUCAGUAAGGUAGCUCCUGGACCCGCCUGACUCCUGAAUUUCUCAUUUUUCAGAGGUAAACAUGGCACAUUUUAAAUUGUACUCAGGGAUGAGGGAAAUGGUUUUCAUUAAAAACAGAAUUCCUUUCAUAAACCAAUAGAUCUAGUCACCCUAGGAAAAGCAUGUAGAUUUGGUUUUCUGACCACGAUACCCCAUUAUUAUUACAAUGCAUGAGGUGAUUUGACCUUAAACGGGCUACCAUCCUACAUGGAUCUAGUCUUACACUACCUGCUUGGGGAAUAAAAUAUCUUGAGUUGUGCUAGCUGCGACCAGCUUUUCCAUGGCUUCUCCGGCUUAUUUUCCAUGCUGUUCAGGUAAACAUGGUGGUCCCCUUUGACUGAGUCACCGAUUUUGUCUGACUGCACCAGCUGAUGUGUCUGAAAUAUCAAACCGUUUGACAGGGACAUGAGGCCUCUCAUGUACUGAACUAGAAUUUUAUAAUGUCUUUGAUUAAGAACAUGAACUUGAAACACAGGAACCAUAAGGAUGUUCUUUUGUCCAGUCGUGAAAAGAUGGGGAUUUAUAAUGUAUGGUGAUUCUUUGCACAUUUUGUGAAACCCCCAUAGCCUUCCUUACAGGGAAAAAGGCAUUUACAGUUACUAAGUUGAAGAUGAAAUAAAAGUCAAUUGACUGCAUGUUUCAGCAGUUCCUACCUCAGAAUGGAAAAUUACAUACAUCAUUGGGUUCUAAAGUGUAAUAAAUGGGUGGAUGUUAGUUCUUGUUUCUCACUUUGCUAUAAAUAUUACUGUGCCUCAAAAUAUUUGAAGUAAUUCUCAUCUUCAUUUUUGCUGUAUGUAAAUAUUCUUGAAAAUGACUCUUAUCUUCCUAUAUUUUUUUUAAAUAUAGGAGAUUAGUCUCUGUCUAUAACACAGGGAAACAAGACUUUCUGAAAUAUCCCGGAUACAUAUAUAAAGGACAGAAAGGUUGUAUGUGAGACCUUGAAAAGAAUGUGAUUUUUUUAUGACAAUUUAUCAUUUAUCCUGGAUCAACAUUUUCUAGCACUCUUCUAGCUUUGCUAAAGCAAAUUGUGUUUUAUGUCCCCAGCAGAAUACUCGAUAACUGGUCUGGCGAUGAUGAGGCAUAAUAGGAGUUAUCUGGUCCCAGGAAAGUCAUUGGUUUGCGUUCACUGCCAGAGUCUGGUUAUCAUUGCAGGGCAGGAUUAUCUCAUUGUUUUCUGCUGCCAUGAUUUUGUUUUGACUUCUCAAAUCUCCACAGAACACUCAUUUAGAAAACCCUCCACAGUGGUUUGUUCUUACUGGGGAAACGAAGGCAGUGGGGAGGGAAGGACAGAAGGAUUUUCUUUCUUUUUCUGAGUCCGUCCUGGGCAGAGAGUAAGAUGCAGUUUUUUCUUAGCGUUGUCAGUGCAAGCCUAGCCCUUUCACUGCCCAGUUUAUUACUCCUAUGCAUCGCCUUAAGAUAUUGCUCCAAAGAUCAAUACCCUGAUUUCCUUUCCAUCUGCCUAGACUAAGAUAAUUAGGCUCUUUACUUCAUUUUGUAUGUAAUGAAGGCGGCAACUCGUGAUAGUAGAGGAAAAAAGCUAUCUCCCUAUGGUAAAUGUAUUGACAUUUACAGAUACCAGCGGAGCACAACAUGAGGAGAGUAAUGAGAAAUUUCACUGCUUUCCCCUCUUUCUCUGUUUCCUGGCUAGAUCCCACAGCGAAUCACUAGCUGCAAAGAGAAGGGACGGCUUAGGGACCGACAAUUGAGAGCAUUUACAAUUAGCUGCAUUGAUUAACCUUUACAAAUGCUGUUACUUUAUGAGGUGUUUUUCUCAGCCCUGGUUGAACAGUAUGCGUUAUUGAUUCAACAUACUCCUUUACGAAAGCCCUGAUUUGUCCGUGACUCCACCAGUCAUAAUGCCUGCCUUGGUAGUCGUUUCUGCAUGUUCUCGGGAAAACUUGACACGGAAGACUGAUUGGCAUUAUGUAAAUGGGGUCCACAUCUUCCUUUAGGAAGGGUGUACAGCCGGCAGAAACCAGGGCGUAGACCUGCCUCCCUUCAUCCCCAUCGCCAGGCGCAGACACAAAGGAUGCCAGCCUCGCGCCAGCCGCUUACUGCUGCCCAAUUCACAGCAUCACUCCUAAUAAGCGGCCUGCAGGAGGAAAAGAGCCUCAGACACUCCUCCAUCUCCUCUGUAUUCCCUGGUUUUUAUUUAGGUUUCCUGAAAUAAUUUGGAGUGUGUGUGCAUGCGUGUGUGUAUGUGUGAAAGAGAGAGAGAGGGAGGGAGAGAGAGAGUUUGUGUAAGGGAAAGGGGUGGUGGGAAAUUGUCCAAAAAAUUGUUUUUAGCUUAAUUUUCUUCGAAGAUUGUAGACCGACUUUGAUUGCCGCUUUGGCUGGUGAUUCCAAAAUCUAUGGUGGAAGGCAUUUUCCUUUCAUCAGUUUGAUUCAGAGAAGCUCAGUGCUUAGAAAUAAUAAAUAUCACCUAGAAAUGGCUGCCUUCCACCCCUCCUGCCCCAUAGAACUAUAUGAAUAUAAAUUGAAUACUAUUUUCUUUUUCUUCCUCUCUUGCUUCCCUCUCUCCCCAUUUCUUCCUUUGAGCCUUCCCUUAUUCUUCAUUUCAAGGUGUACAUUAGUAUCAUCUGAAAGAUAAAAGGACUAAAAGCUUGAAAUACUACAGAGUAAAUCCAUCAGCUGUUCUGUCAGGAUUCCUAAAAUGUAUUCUGCACCCAAGACCAGUUAUAUGAUAUGCAGUGCAAAAUAAAGAUGCAGGGCCCCUUGUUCAUAAAUUAUUAAAAAUUUCUAAACAGUAACAGCAGAGUGUUAAACCCAGCUCUGUUCCUCUAAGAAUGAGGCUUGUGUGAUUGCACAGAUCACACACCCAGGAAGUAGGCCCUGCCAUCAUCUUUGCCAACAGUUAUUUCUGAAAAGAUAGUAGGAGACAGGGGCCUGGGUGGGGGGAAGGUAGUAUUUGUUUUCUUUCCCAACUCGAGUUUAAACUUCUCUAUUGUGAGACUCAUUUUUUCUGGAUCAUGCCAAAUUGCAUAUGCUCCUUUAUGACUUGAAAUGCCACUUAGUUGGGUUUGAACUGAGAGCACCGCCUUUAUGCCCAUCUUCUGCAUAGCAGAUUCCAGCGACUUGAAGCACUUUUUCCAUGCCAGAAUUCUGAGACUGGAGUAUUUGUCACUUUGCGCUUCCAGGAACGGCUGAAAAAAGUUUAUUUUGCUUUAUGUGAUUAAACUGAAUGUUUGUCUUGAUGCAAAUGCAUAUACAUGUGCAUUUAUUCUAAUAUACAUAUCCAAACACAUGGGAUUUUUUUUUCCCGUACAUACAUGUGCAUAACAGAAUUGAGUUUAUGGUUUUCCAAGACACAGCUGAACAAUGAUGGAAGACAGCCAUUUUUUUUUUUAAUGAAGAGUUGAUGCAUUUUUAAAGGAAAAAAAUCAGGAAGCUGCUCUAACAGACUCUGCAGCAUUCACAGCAUGACAAACAAAUUAGAAAACAGCAGAUGCAGCACAAAUUAAGAUGUAUUUAGCACAGCAGCCCAUCAGAUGUGUGAACGUCUUUUGUAACUCAGCUUUGCAAGGUUGAUGUAUUGCACUUUAGACAGCUGAUAAUGAACCCUCCUAGCAAUUAGAAGUGGAAAUACUGAGGAGUCAAAAUUGUGCUGUUCCCAGUGGGC